CCUACGGGAGGCAGCAGUGAGGAAUAUUGGUCAAUGGACGAGAGUCUGAACCAGCCAAGUAGCGUGAAGGAUGACUGCCCUAUGGGUUGUAAACUUCUUUUAUAUGGGAAUAAAAUGUUCCACGUGUGGGAUUUUGUAUGUACCAUAUGAAUAAGGAUCGGCUAACUCCGUGCCAGCAGCCGCGGUAAUACGGAGGAUCCGAGCGUUAUCCGGAUUUAUUGGGUUUAAAGGGAGCGUAGGUGGAUUGUUAAGUCAGUUGUGAAAGUUUGCGGCUCAACCGUAAAAUUGCAGUUGAAACUGGCAGUCUUGAGUACAGUAGAGGUGGGCGGAAUUCGUGGUGUAUCGGUGAAAUGCUUAGAUAUCACGAAGAACUCCGAUUGCGAAGGCAGUUCACUGGACUGCAACUGACACUGAGGCUCGAAAGUGUGGGUAUCAAACAGGAUUAGAUACCCGUGUAGUC
rnacentral:rRNA from 1 species